rnacentral:rRNA from 1 species
AACGAACGCUGGCGGCAGGCUUAACACAUGCAAGUCGAACGCCCCGCAAGGGGAGUGGCAGACGGGUGAGUAACGCGUGGGAAUCUACCUAGUUCUACGGAACAACAGUUGGAAACGACUGCUAAUACCGUAUACGCCCUAAGGGGGAAAGAUUUAUCGGAAUUAGAUGAGCCCGCGUAAGAUGAGCUAGUUGGUGGGGUAAUGGCCUACCAAGGCGACGAUCUUUAGCUGGUCUGAGAGGAGGAUCAGCCACACUGGGACUGAGACACGGCCCAGACGCCUACGGGAGGCGGCAGUGGGGAAGAUUGGACAGUGGGCGCAAGCCUGAUCCAGCCAUGGCGCGUGAGUUAUGAAGGCCUUAAGGUUGGAAAGCUCUUUCACCGAUGAAGAUAAUGACGGUAGUCGGAGAAGAAGCCCCGGCUAACUUCGUGCCAGCCGCCGCCGUAAAAC